AUAUGUAUAUAUGUAUAUAUAUAUAUAUAUAUGUGUGUGUGUGUGUGUGUGUGUGUGUGUGUAUGUGUGUGUGUAUAUAUAUAUAUACAUACAUAUAUAUAUAUAUAUACAUGCAUAUAUAC
ensembl:miRNA Gm24026 predicted gene, 24026